UACGGAGGGGGGCUAGCGUUGUUCGGAAUUACUGGGCGUAAAGCGCACGUAGGCGGCUUUGUAAGUUAGAGGUGAAAGCCCAGGGCUUAACCCUGGAAUUGCCUUUAAGACUGCAUCGCUAGAAUCGUGGAGAGGUGAGUGGAAAUUCCGAGUGUAGAGGUGAAAUUCGUAGAUAUUCGGAAGAACACCAGUGGCGAAGGCGACUCACUGGACACGAUUGACGCUGAGGUGCGAAAAGCGUGGGGGAGCAAACAGG
rnacentral:rRNA from 1 species